UCCCCGAUUGAUUCUGUCGGCGGUUAUAUGCUUGUCUCAAAGGCUAAGCCAUGCAUGUCUAAGUUCAAAUAAACCUAUAAUGGUGAAACCGCGAACGGCUCAUUAUAACAGCUAUAAUGUACUUGAUGUUGAUUAUCCAACGUGGAUAACUGUGGCAAUUCUAGAGCUAAUACAUGCACCAAAGCUCCGAAUUUUAAACGAGCGCAUCUAUUAGAUUAAAACCAAUCGGAUUAUUAAUUUUAAUCCGUUAAUUGGUGACUCUGAAUAGCUAUGGCUGAUCGCAUGGUCUUGUACCGGCGACGUAUCUAUCAAGUGUCUGCCUUAUCAACUUUCGAUGGUAGUUUAUGUGCCUACCAUGGUUGUAACGGGUAACGGAGAAUAAGGGUUCGACUCCGGAGAGGGAGCCUGAGAAACGGCAACCACAUCCAAGGAAGGCAGCAGGCGCGCAAAUUACCCACUCUCAGAAUGAGGAGGUAGUGACGAAAAAUAACGAGACCGUUCUCUUUGAGGCCGGUUAUCGGAAUGGGUACAAUUUAAACCUGUUAACGAGGAUCUAUGAGAGGGCAAGUCUG
rnacentral:ncRNA from 1 species